GGAACUUGGAGAUCUCUCCAAGGGGCUGAAAGCUGGAAGUUGUAUGAAGGUGUUCCUUUCCCCCACCCCAGCUACUCCGCCCCAGUCGAAAAGGCUAAUUCUAGACCUCUUAUUUUUAAAAAAAGAAAGAAAAGGUCACCUGAAGUCCCAACCCCCAUGUAUCUCUCAGUGCCUGUCUGGUCCAGAGGGAGCCAGUGACUCUGCCAGCACAUCACCAUUUUGUGCCCCACCAGGGGGUGGUCCAUGGAGUCAUCUCAGCUUUCAGCCCAGACCUCGCUCACUCUUUCCCCAAGCCACGCCAACAUUCCUUGGUCUCUCCCAAGCCAGGAGGCAGAUAUUUAUUGGGCAUCUUCAACAACCAGGCUCUGUUCAUGGUGCUGAAGAACAGCAUGUAUGAACAACCCUGCCCUCACAUGGCGGCCACCGGUGACCUGUGGUGUGGAUUCUCCUGUUACCUCUGUCUCCUCCUUCCUGCUGUCAUCAUCCUUGGUCCUCCUCUGUCACCUGGAAUCCUCCACUUGGUAACCAGCAGGAUCUUAUAACCCUAGUUCUACCCUUGUCAGCA